rnacentral:rRNA from 2 species
CGCGCAGGCGGCCUGAUCAGUCAGAUGUGAAAGCCCACGGCUUAACUGUGGAAGUGCAUUUGAAACUGUCAGGCUUGAGUACCAGAGGGGAAAGUGGAAUUCCCGGUGUAGAGGUGAAAUUCGUAGAUAUCGGGAGGAAUACCGGUGGCGAAGGCGACUUUCUGGCUGGAUACUGACGCUGAGGCGCGAAAGCGUGGGGAGCAAACA